GCUAAGAGUUUUUCUUCGUCAACGCGGCUAUGUUGAUGUAGAACCAUAGCUGCUUGGCGAAGAAUUGCCCUUUCA
rfam:Branchiostoma floridae genomic scaffold BRAFLscaffold_18, whole genome shotgun sequence.